UCCUGCGCGCUUACUGCUUCUGGUUGUCCGCGUCCAAGUCGAGCUCCCGCGAGCUGAGCGACGCCGUGAGCACCGGCCUGGAGGAGGAGGAGGAGGAGCGCGGCGGCGAAGGCGAGGAGCUCGGGGAUGGCGAGGCCAUGGAGGCGGCGGAGGGGUUGACGGCACGGAGCUGGCGGGUGCCGUGCGCGAAGAAGCAGAUGCGGCGGGGGCAGCCGACCUCGUCCUUGCAGAGCCUGGUGCGGUACUGCGCCGGGUGGAGCCAUGACUCGAAGACGCCGUGCGCCUACUCGCAGCCGUCGCCCUUGCGGCAUGCUGCCGGGUCGCGGCGGAAGUCCGGGCAGGGGACGCAGGAGUAUGGGACGCGGCGCGGGUCGCGGCGGCGGGCGUUCUCC
rnacentral:rRNA from 1 species